rnacentral:rRNA from 1 species
GAUUAACGCUGGCGGCGUGCAUAACACAUGCAAGUCGAACGAUGAAACUUAAAUGAUUUCUUCGGAAUGAACUUAAGUGGAUUAGUGGCGGACGGGUGAGUAACGCGUGAGUAACCUGCCUUACACAAGGGGAUAGCCGUUGGAAACGACGAAUAAUACCCUAUGAUGUUUCUAUCUCGCAUGAGAUAUUAACCAAAGUGUUAGCGGUGUAAAAUGGACUUGCGUCUGAUUAGCUAGUUGGUGAGAAAAAAGCCCACCAAGGCAACGAUCAGUAGCCGGCUUGAGAGAGUGUACGGCCACAUUGGGACUGAGACACGGCCCAGACUCCUACGGGAGGCAGCAGUGGGGAAUUUUGCACAAUGGGGGAAACCCUGAUGCAGCGACGCCGCGUGAUUUAGAAGGCCUUCGGGUUGUAAAAAUCUUUUGUAUAGGAAGAAAAUGACAGUACUAUACGAAUAAGGUCCGGCUAAUUACGUG